GACAACCCUGUGCCUUUUUCUCGUUUUCGUUGCUCAGGUCAAAACGUGGUUUCAGAAUCGCAGAGCCAAAUGGAGGCGUCUAAAGCAGGAGAACCCCCAGGCCACCAAAAAGGAGGAAGCCGAAGGCGCCGAUGGUCACUGUGCCCAGCGGCCCGAGAGCUGCCCGAGCCCUGAGCGCAAGAGCAAGGAGGUUUCCCUCGACGGCUCGCAGUUCGCCCCCUCGCCUGCCUCGCAGGAGGACCUCGAGUCCGACGUCUCCGACGACUCUGACCAAGAAGUGGACAUUGAAGGUGACAAAGGCUAUUACAACCCUGCCCACUAAUGGCCCCACGCUGGAGAGUGGACCCUAACUCGGCUUGCACUUUACCAGGGGCUGGCUUUAGAGAAUAUUUUGUUACAGGAGAAAACUUUCACCGUUCCCCUGAAAAAAAAAAAAAAA